UAGGGAAUCUUCCACAAUGGACGAAAGUCUGAUGGAGCAACGCCGCGUGAGUGAAGAAGGGUUUCGGCUCGUAAAACUCUGUUGUUGAAGAAGAACAUAUCUGAGAGUAACUGUUCAGGUAUUGACGGUAUUUAACCAGAAAGCCACGGCUAACUACGUGACAG
rnacentral:rRNA from 1 species